UACGAAGGGGGCUAGCGUUGUUCGGAAUUACUGGGCGUAAAGGGCGCGUAGGCGGCGUGUCAAGUCAGGCGUGAAAGCCCCGGGCUCAACCUGGGAACCGCGCUUGAGACUGGCAUGCUCGAGUUCGGGAGAGGAUGGUGGAAUUCCCAGUGUAGAGGUGAAAUUCGUAGAUAUUGGGAAGAACACCGAUGGCGAAGGCAGCCAUCUGGACGGAUACUGACGCUGAGACGCGAAAGCGUGGGUAGCAAACAGG
rnacentral:rRNA from 1 species